GUCUAUGGCCAUGCCACUCUGAACGCACCGAAUCUCUGAUCUCGGAAGCUAAGCAGGGUCAGACCUGUUUAGUACUUGGAUGGGAGAAAGAGACAAGGAACAAUAUAAA
rnacentral:rRNA from 1 species